GUUCAGAAGGUUGUUUUCUUAGUGCCUGUUGGAAUACUACAGGAUUUUCUUUAGCAUCAUUGCUGGAGUUCCUGCCUUCAUCCCAGUGCCGAUGAGGAUGAGGGUGUAAGAAUUUCCAGUGUUGCUGAGAACCGGACCGGGACGAGACUUUGACUAAAAAACGGACGAGACUUCGGAGCUGUUGCUGUUUCUGCUGCUACAGCUUAGGUUAGCUGCCUGCAGAAUUUACCUGGACUGUGAUUUAAGCUAGCUGCCUGCAGAACUUACCUGGACUGUGAUUUACCUGGACUGUGAGUUAAUCUAUUGAGACACUGCUUUACCUGGACUGAGACAACAAACUGUAAUCUACAACAAAUUGUAACUUGGUAUCUUUGCUAAUGGUGUCAUUGCUGGUAUAAUUUUUCCAAAGGCUUCUUACUUGGAGCCAUCAAUUGGCUUGGUAUCAUGACAUUUUUUAUCCUCCCCUUCUGCUUGUAGCAGAUUAUUCAUGGUGUUUGUGUAAAAACCACUAUGGUCGUUAUUUAAAUUAAACAAAAGGGGGAAAUGUUAGAGUCUAUGAACAAGUCAGGAUGGCGCCUGGCAUUUUGUCAGGGGGAGUGGUUUGUGAGGUGGCCCCAAUGAGCCAUUAAGUGUGUAGAUUUCUUAUUGGUUGACUGCUGUAUCGAGUUUAUGUUAAUUAAGAUAAGCUGUGUGGAAUGUAUAAAUACCUCUGUUGUCCUACAAUAAACGGCUCCCACUCCUGGUGUAUCAAUCUACACAAGUUUCUCUUCACCCCCUGGUUAUUUUGCUGCAGCCGGACUGCGGCAAUCUUCAGCCUUCCCAG
rnacentral:lncRNA from 1 species